rnacentral:rRNA from 1 species
AACGAACGCUGGCGGCAGGCUUAACACAUGCAAGUCGAACGAUCUCUUCGGAGGUAGUGGCAGACGGGUGAGUAACACGUGGGAACGUACCUUUCAGUCUGGAAUAACACAGGGAAACUUGUGCUAAUACCGGAUACGCCCUUAUGGGGAAAGAUUUAUCGCUGAAAGAUCGGCCCGCGUCUGAUUAGCUGGUUGGUGAGGUAAUGGCUCACCAAGGCGACGAUCAGUAGCUGGUCUGAGAGGAUGAUCAGCCACACUGGGACUGAGACACGGCCCAGACUCCUACGGGAGGCAGCAGUGGGGAAUAUUGGACAAUGGGCGCAAGCCUGAUCCAGCCAUGCCGCGUGAGUGAUGACGGCCUUAGGGUUGUAAAGCUCUUUCGACGGGGACGAUAAUGACGGUACCCGUAGAAGAAGCCCCGGCUAACUUCGUG